AGCAGCCGCGGUAAUUCCAGCUCCAAUAGCGUAUAUUAAAGUUGUUGCAGUUAAAAAGCUCGUAGUUGAAUUUCGGGACCAAUAUGUCGGUCGUGCUUCGGUACGUACUUGCAUUAUUGGUUUCUCCCUUCUGAAGAACCAUGAUGUCAUUAAUUUGGUGUCUUGGGGAAUCAGGACUGUUACUUUGAAAAAAUUAGAGUGUUUAAAGCAGGCUCACGCUUGAAUACAUUAGCAUGGAAUAAUGAAAUAGGACGUUUGAUUCUAUUUUGUUGGUUUCUAGGAUCGACGUAAUGAUUAAUAGGGAUAGUUGGGGGCAUUAGUAUUCAAUUGUCAGAGGUGAAAUUCUUGGAUUUAUUGAAGACUAACUACUGCGAAAGCAUUUGCCAAGGAUGUUUUCAUUAAUCAAGAACGAAAGUUAGGGGAUCGAAGACGAUCAGAUACCGUCGUAGU
rnacentral:rRNA from 2 species